CCUACGGGCGGCAGCAGUGGGGAAUAUUGCACAAUGGGCGCAAGCCUGAUGCAGCCAUGCCGCGUGUGUGAAGAAGGCCUUCGGGUUGUAAAGCACUUUCAGCGGGGAGGAAGGCGUUAAGGUUAAUAACCUUGUCGAUUGACGUUACCCGCAGAAGAAGCACCGGCUAACUCCGUGCCAGCAGCCGCGGUAAUACGGAGGGUGCAAGCGUUAAUCGGAAUUACUGGGCGUAAAGCGCACGCAGGCGGUCUGUCAAGUCGGAUGUGAAAUCCCCGGGCUCAACCUGGGAACUGCAUUCGAAACUGGCAGGCUAGAGUCUUGUAGAGGGGGGUAGAAUUCCAGGUGUAGCGGUGAAAUGCGUAGAGAUCUGGAGGAAUACCGGUGGCGAAGGCGGCCCCCGGGACAAAGACUGACGCUCAGGUGCGAAAGCGUGGGGAGCAAACAGGAUUAGAUACCCGUGUAGUC
rnacentral:rRNA from 1 species